CCUACGGGAGGCAGCAGUGGGGAAUAUUGCACAAUGGGGGAAACCCUGAUGCAGCGACGCCGCGUGAGCGAUGAAGUAUUUCGGUAUGUAAAGCUCUAUCAGCAGGGAAGAAAAUGACGGUACCUGACUAAGAAGCCCCGGCUAACUACGUGCCAGCAGCCGCGGUAAUCCGUGGGGGGCAAGCGUUAUCCGGAUUUAUUGGGUUUAAAGGUGUCGCAGGCGGAGGUGCAAGUCAGCGGUCAAAUUGCGGGGCUCAACCCCGUACUGCCGUUGACACUGCAUCCCUUGAGUGCGCGAGAAGAAUGCGGAAUGCGUGGUGUAGCGGUGAAAUGCAUAGAUAUCACGCAGAACUCCGAUUGCGAAGGCAGCAUACCGGCGCGCAACUGACGCUCAUGCACGAAAGCGUGGGUAUCGAACAGGAUUAGAUACCCCGGUAGUC
rnacentral:rRNA from 1 species